rnacentral:rRNA from 1 species
UGAGGGAUAUUGGGCAAUGGGGGAAACCCUGACCCAGCGACGCCGCGUGAGGGAAGACGGUCUUCGGAUUGUAAACCUCUGUCUUUGGGGACGAAAAAGGGACGGUACCCAAGGAGGAAGCUCCGGCUAACUACGUGCCAGCAGCCGCGGUAAUACGUAGGGAGCGAGCGUUGUCCGGAAUUACUGGGUGUAAAGGGAGCGUAGGCGGGAAGGCAAGUUGGAUGUGAAAACUGUGGGCUCAACCGACAGACUGCAUUCAAAACUGUUUUUUCUUGAGUGAAGUAGAGGCAAGCGGAAUUCCUAGUGUAGCGGUGAAAUGCGUAGAUAUUAGGAGGAACACCAGUGGCGAAGGCGGCUUGCUGGGCUUUUACUGACGCUGAGGCUCGAAAGUGUGGGGAGCAAACAGGAUUAGAUACC